GACGAACGCUGGCGGCGUGCCUAAUACAUGCAAGUAGGACGCAGUUGCGAACGGGUGAGUAACGCUUAGGUAACUGCCUAUUAGAGGGGGAUAACUAUUGGAAACGCUAGCUAAUACCGCAUACUAGUAGAUGGACCUGCGUUGUAUUAGAUAGUAGGUAGGGUAAUGGCCUACCUAGGCGACGAUACAUAGCCGACCUGAGAGGGUGAUCGGCCACCCUGGGACUGAGACACGGCCCAGACUCCUACGGGAGGCAGCAGUAGGGAAUCUUCGGCAAUGGGGGGAACCCUGACCGAGCAACGCCGCGUGAGUGAAUAAGGUUUUCGGAUCGUAAAGCUCUGUUGUUAAGGAAGCGGUACUUAACCAGAAAGGGACGGCUAACUACGUGCCAGCAGCCGCGGUAAUUC
rnacentral:rRNA from 1 species